ACCGGCAAUCACAUCGCUCAUGGCUAUUGUUGUUACUGUGUUGACCAGAUAUUGUUAGGAUGGAUACUUAAAUAUAAUUAGUUACGAUUACUUGAAUAUUAUAUAUGAAAAUCGUCUUCAGCGUAACUUGCGGGAUAACUAAACCGCGUAUGAUAAGCUUCCAUAAGAUAAAUACUAAUACGAUGGUUCAUUCGCGUAAUCGUUUUAUACGUACGGCGGCCGAACAAUUUGUCUGCUGGGUUUUGAUUAACGUUGAACUCUUAAGACAUUGUUUGAUGCUCCUGGCUCAUCUUUGCCGAUCUUCCUGCUAGAGCCCUAUCACACGAAGCAACUUUUGUUGCGGCAACUCUUGGUUUAUAGGCGAGGGGGCGACGAGGAGAGGGGAAUCGCGCCGAGUUUCCAGUGUUCAGCAACUCGCUUUGUGUUCUUAUUCGUAGCAGUUCGCUGCGACGUUUUUCGGCAUUCGUGUUCUUUCUUUCGUAGUACAUAGUUGCAUUUGCGUAUAUUUUUUUGAAAUUAAUAUUUUGAAUAUAUUUAAAAAAUUUAAUUUCAUCUUUUGGUAAGUAAUUUGCAAAUAUGUAUACAAAUAUACAUAAUAUAAUAUAAAUAUUUUAGAAAAUGGAGUAUGACGAAAAAAUCGAAUUAAUUAAAGAUAUUGUGAAAUGUAUGGAGGAAGCCAUACAAAUUGAUUUAGACGAUAGUAAAAAGGGUGAUAUAUGUUUGUUUUAAUAAAUAAAAUGUAUUUCUUAAUUGA